rnacentral:lncRNA from 1 species
AUUUUCCUGACACCACACUCCGAGUGCCCUCACCUCCCCCUCCUUGUAGGCUGUCUCAUCGUUGUAGGUAAUCAAGCCCACUACUGUUGUGUUGUUCGCAAACUUGAUGAUUGAGUUGGAGGCGUGUAUGGCCACGCAGUCAUGGGUGAACAGGGAGUACAGGAGGGGGCUGAGCAUUCAACCUCGUGGGGCCCCAGUGUUGAGGAUCAGUGAAGUGGAGAUGUUGUUUCCUACCUUCCACCUGGGGGUGGCCCGUCAUAAAGUCCAGGUCCGAAUUGCACAUGGCGGGGUUGAGACCCAGGGCCUCAAGCGUAAUGAUGAGCUUGGAGGGUGCUAUGGUGUUGAAUGCUGAGCUGUAGUCAACGAACAGCAUUCUUACAUAGGUAUUCCUCUUGUCCAGAUGGGAUAUGGCAGUGUGCAGUGUGAUGGCGAUUGCAUAGUCUGUGGACCUAUUGGGGCGGUAUGCAAUUUGAAGUGGGUCCUGGGUGGCAGGUAAGGUGGAGGUGAUAUGAUCCUUGACUAGUCUCUCAAAGCACUUCAUGAUGACAGAAGUGAGUGCUACGGGGUGAUAGUAAUUUAGUUCAGUUAUAUUUGCCUUCUUGGGUACAGGAACAAUGGUGACCAUCUUGAAGCAUGUGGGGACAGAAGACUGGGAUAGGUCGAGAUUGAAUAUGUCGGUAAACACACCAGCCAGCUGAUCUGCGCAUGCUCUGAGGAUUCGGCUAGGGAUGCCGUCUGAGCCUUGCGAGGGUUAACACGUUUAAAUGUCUUACUCACGUCGGCCACAGAGAAGGAGAGGGAAUUGCGACUACACUUUGUCCCUAUACUGACAUUUCGCUUGUUUGAUUGCCAUGCGGAGGGAAUAUCUACACUGUUUAUAUUUGGCCAUAUUCCUAGUCAUCUUUCCAUGGUUAAAUGCAGUUGUUCUCGCUUUCAGUUUUGCACGAAUGCCACCAUCUAUCUACGGUUUCUGGUUAGGGUAUGUUUAAUUAGUCACAGUGGGUACAGCAUCUCCAAUACACUUCCUUAUAAACUCACUCACCAAAUCAGCAUAUAAAUCGAUGUUAUUCUCUGAGGCUGCCUGGAAUAUUUCCCAGUCCAGGUGAUCAAAACAAUCUUAAAAUGAUUGGACAGAUCAGCGUUGAAUAGUUCUAGUCACGGGUACAUCCUGUUUGAGUUUCUGCCGAAAGGACGAGCAGGCAACAGAUGGCACACAGACAGCAGAGUUGGGGACAGAUAUGCAGGGACAGACUGGCAGAGACAGGGAGUCUCAGAGACUGGACACUGGCGAGUAAUAUACUCAGAAGCGGUGGGUGGUGUGCACGCCUUCGAAGUCUGACCAGGAGGUUGCUCCGUCUACCUCUCCUGCGGCGACGUUGUUUUGUGUUGGCCUCUGGAAUCAGAUCCAAUGUCCUGGGUGGUGGUGCGAACAAAGGAUCCACUUUGGGAAAGUCGUAUUCCUGGUCGUAAUGUUGUCUGCAGAUGCAGAGGCUGCAGGUCCUGGAGGAUCGUCUCUGGUCAAGUAGGAGAGGACUGAAUGGACAACAGUAGUGUCGAAAAGGAAAAUUGUCUAAAAUUGAAGUGGAGGAUACGUGUAUGUCGGUUAAUUAAUAGUUUAUUUUCUUGGGAUGCAUUUGUUGAGUAAGGAUGCAUAUGUGGGAGACCUGUUUGAGGUGUCAAAUUGUGAAGUAUGCGCUGGGAAAAGUGGAGUCUCAGAGUGACCAGGAGCAGUCUUAUUUUGAUUGAUUGUAUUUCUGAAGAAAAGAAGAAGAUUGCAGUGGGCCUCAAAAGAAUAUACGGACAAGAGAAGUAUUGUACUUUGAACUCUCAGAGGUGAUGACGAAUGUUCAGGUUGAAUAUCUGAAGAGAAUUCCUGGUUUGGUUGGUGCCCGGCAUUUGACCCACUGGGUGAAUGUAGAAAAAGAAGAAAGUCUGUCGGUCCUGUUGUUUUUUGUUAAAGAGAACCUACCUACACAUGUCAAGCUUGGUUAUGUAAGAUACGCUGUAAGAGAUUUUGUCCCCAAAUCAUUGCAGUGAAAAAAAAUGAAAGGAUUUGGCCAUGUUUCAAGUGUGUGCAGACGGACGGAGUAUACUGAAGAAUUGCGUGUAGAAAGACGACAGUGUUGCAAUUGUGGUUGGGAUCCGAAUCCCCAGUUCCUGCAGUGCCCUGUAAGGGUGAAGGAGAUUGAGGUGGCAAAAGUUAGAGCGAUCAACAGAAUUUCCUAUGCGGAGGUGAUUUAUUAAAAGAGUUGAGCAAACAAGUGACGCUAGUGAAGAUAUGGUAGUGAAUUGAUUGAAUCAGAUGACUCAUUCAUUG